rnacentral:lncRNA from 1 species
UGCCCGGGAGGCGGGACCUGAGUCAAUAAAGCCACUAAGCAAACAGUCGUGCUCAGUUUGUACAGUGGUUGAGGCUUGUGGGCCGAGGAUCUGGAAGCCGGCACACAUCCUCCCUUAAAUCCGAGCCCAGCUUUGUUUACACGGCUCGUCUCACGGCAAGAUGGCGGCCCGCGGGGUGCGGGGCAGCCUCGGGCGAGCGGGCCGUGGGCAGGGGGCUGCAUCCCGGGGCGGCUCCCCUCUCACACAGCGGGACUGGAGGUCUGUUAUCUUGAUGAAACAGGGCUGCGUGGAGAGCAUAAGGACGUUGGGGUGGGGCUCGUUAGCCGCAGUCACUUCGUGCGGGAAGGCAGCUUCUAAGG